rnacentral:rRNA from 1 species
UACGUAGGGUGCAAGCGUUGUCCGGAAUUAUUGGGCGUAAAGAGCUCGUAGGCGGUCUGUCGCGUCUGCUGUGAAAACUCAGGGCUUAACCCUGAGCUUGCAGUGGGUACGGGCAGACUAGAGUGCAGUAGGGGAGACUGGAAUUCCUGGUGUAGCGGUGAAAUGCGCAGAUAUCAGGAGGAACACCGGUGGCGAAGGCGGGUCUCUGGGCCGUAACUGACGCUGAGGAGCGAAAGCAUGGGGAGCGAACAGG